rnacentral:rRNA from 1 species
UGAGGAAUAUUGGUCAAUGGACGGAAGUCUGAACCAGCCAAGUAGCGUGCAGGAUGACGGCCCUAUGGGUUGUAAACUGCUUUUGUAUGGGGAUAAAGUUAGGGACGUGUCCCUAUUUGCAGGUACCAUACGAAUAAGGACCGGCUAAUUCCGUGCCAGCAGCCGCGGUAAUACGGAAGGUCCAGGCGUUAUCCGGAUUUAUUGGGUUUAAAGGGAGCGUAGGCUGGAUAUUAAGUGUGUUGUGAAAUGUAGACGCUCAACGUCUGACUUGCAGCGCAUACUGGUUUCCUUGAGUACGCACAACGUUGGCGGAAUUCGUCGUGUAGCGGUGAAAUGCUUAGAUAUGACGAAGAACUCCGAUUGCGAAGGCAGCUGACGGGAGCGCAACUGACGCUUAAGCUCGAAGGUGCGGGUAUCAAACAGG